UAGGGAAUCUUCCGCAAUGGACGAAAGUCUGACGGAGCAACGCCGCGUGAGUGAUGAAGGCUUUCGGGUCGUAAAACUCUGUUGUUAGGGAAGAACAAGUACGAGAGUAACUGCUCGUACCUUGACGGUACCUAACCAGAAAGCCACGGCUAACUACGUGCCAGCAGCCGCGGUAAUACGUAGGUGGCAAGCGUUAUCCGGAAUUAUUGGGCGUAAAGCGCGCGCAGGCGGUUUCUUAAGUCUGAUGUGAAAGCCCACGGCUCAACCGUGGAGGGUCAUUGGAAACUGGGGAACUUGAGUGCAGAAGAGGAAAGUGGAAUUCCAAGUGUAGCGGUGAAAUGCGUAGAGAUUUGGAGGAACACCAGUGGCGAAGGCGACUUUCUGGUCUGUAACUGACACUGAGGCGCGAAAGCGUGGGGAGCAAACA
rnacentral:rRNA from 1 species